GAUUAACGCUAGCGGCAGGCCUAAUACAUGCAAGUCGAACGGCAGCGGGUCCAGCAAUGGAUGCCGGCGAGUGGCGCACGGGUGCGUAACACGUAUGCAAUCUACCUUUAACUGGAGGAUAGCCCCGAGAAAUCGGGAUUAAUACUCCAUAACAUUGCGAAGGGGCAUCUCUUUGCAAUUAAAGCUCCGGCGGUUUUAGAUGAGCAUGCGCGACAUUAGCUAGUUGGUGAGGUAACGGCUCACCAAGGCUCCGAUGUCUAGGGGUUCUGAGAGGAUUCACCCCCACACUGGUACUGAGACACGGACCAGACUCCUACGGGAGGCAGCGGUAAGGAAUAUUGGUCAAUGGACGCAAGUCUGAACCAGCCAUGCCGCGUGAAGGAAGACGGCCCUACGGGUUGUAAACUUCUUUUGUACGGGAAAAAACCUCCGGUCGUGAACCGGAGCUGAUGGUACCGUAAGAAUAAGCAUCGGCUAACUCCGUGCCAGCCGCCGCGGUA
rnacentral:rRNA from 1 species